GACGAACGCUGGCGGCGUGCUUAACACAUGCAAGUCGAACGGAAAGGCCCUGCUUUUGUGGGGUGCUCGAGUGGCGAACGGGUGAGUAACACGUGAGUAACCUGCCCUUGACUUUGGGAUAACUUCAGGAAACUGGGGCUAAUACCGGAUAGGAGCUCCUGCUGCAUGGUGGGGGUUGGAAAGUUUCGGCGGUUGGGGAUGGACUCGCGGCUUAUCAGCUUGUUGGUGGGGUAGUGGCUUACCAAGGCUUUGACGGGUAGCCGGCCUGAGAGGGUGACCGGCCACAUUGGGACUGAGAUACGGCCCAGACUCCUACGGGAGGCAGCAGUGGGGAAUAUUGCACAAUGGGCGGAAGCCUGAUGCAGCAACGCCGCGUGCGGGAUGACGGCCUUCGGGUUGUAAACCGCCUUCGCCUGUGACGAAGCGUGAGUGGCGGUAAUGGGUAAAGAAGCACCGGCUAACUACGUG
rnacentral:rRNA from 1 species